CUACGGGCGGCAGCAGUAAGGAAUAUUGGUCAAUGGACGAAAGUCUGAACCAGCCAUGCCGCGUGGAGGAUGAAGGUCCUCUGGAUUGUAAACUUCUUUUAUCUGGGAAGAAAUCCAUGGUUUCUACUAUGGUUGACGGUACCAGAUGAAUAAGCACCGGCUAACUCCGCGCCAGCAGCCGCGGUAAUACGGAGGGUGCAAGCGUUAUCCGGAUUCACUGGGUUUAAAGGGUGCGUAGGUGGGCAGGUAAGUCAGUGGUGAAAUCUCCGAGCUUAACUCGGAAACUGCCAUUGAUACUAUCUGUCUUGAAUACCCUGGAUGUGAGCGGAAUAUGUCAUGUAGCGGUGAAAUGCUUAGAUAUGACAUAGAACACCAAUUGCGAAGGCAGCUCACUACGGGAAUAUUGACACUGAGGCACGAAAGCGUGGGGAUCAAACAGGAUUAGAUACCCUAGUAGUC
rnacentral:rRNA from 1 species